rnacentral:lncRNA from 1 species
AGAAUCAGAGCUGCCGUAGUUCGGCUCACGCACGCCGAAACAAGACACACACAAACACAGGCAAACAUGGAACCCGAAUGCCAAUCACUGGACUUACAUCGGCUUCCGAACCCAACAAACACAAUCAGGAUACGGACAGCCAAUCGCUGGGCUUACAUCCAUAUCCUGACACACAAGAAGAAACAAACAAACACACACAAAAAAG